CCAAUCUUGGACAACUAUUGCUUUUGUUUUCACGCAGUUUUUUCGAUGAUUUUUCUUUUUCUUUUCUCCAUUUUUUUUUUUCUGGUUGUUUAAGCUGUGGUGGAUCAUGGAACUGGGAUUUUUAGCACUCACACUCUACCAUCGAAUCUUUGACUCAUCCCGGGAUCAAAGCGGGUGGUCUCUGCCCACAGGUGUCCAGAGAAUCAUGGUAGCACUCAAAUGAAGUUGAGGAUUCAUGAAAAUCGGUCACACUCGACUAACAUUUCACAAACGAAGGUAGAGACUACAUGAUUCCGUAAAGAAGAUAAAAAUCUUUGGAAUGACAUCUCGCAGCAUUGCAUAUGGUUUCUCUGGCAAGCUGCUUGUGAGCCUCAGAAAUCCGCCACCUUUGUCACGUCAAAACUACAAGAAAUUACCUUGUGGUGGUGUUUUAUACACAGGCCACAUAUAAAUACUUUUCUCCUCUUUCGACUUCCUAGGGAAGAUGAAUGCCAGCUUUAUAUUGAGGACCUAAUUAUAAAGGAAAGAAUUGCACGAUGCACAACAUAUAUAGGUUUUUAAUUGUUUUUGGAUGGUGCAGCUUCUGAUUUGAUAUAAACUGGUACUUGUAUAAUCGCCUGACAAGCAGCAUCAUUCAACAAUAAUCGCUAUGAGCUUCUUACAAAGAGAACUAAAACGACAGACAUGCACCGCACAGCAGAUAUGAGAAGGCUAUAUGUAUUUAUACACAAAAGUCAGUGUAAACCAAAACACAACUCAGGAAACUGAAAAAACAAGAUAGCACAUUUCCCAUUCUUUCAUCUGUUGAGAACAAGAGGUGGAAUGGACAACUUUUUAGCUGCUUUGAAUCCAAACAAGCAAGCACUAUAUGAUAUAAUUCACAAAACAAAAUGAUAAACAAAACCCAAUACCUAUUCAUAAAGACAGUCUCAUUCUCUACAAAUGACAGGAUU